UACGAAGGGAGCUAGCGUUGUUCGGAAUCACUGGGCGUAAAGGGCUCGUAGGUGGCCAACUAAGUCAGACGUGAAAUCCCUCAGCUUAACUGGGGAACUGCGUCUGAUACUGGAUGGCUUGAGUUUGGGAGAGGGAUGCGGAAUUCCAGGUGUAGCGGUGAAAUGCGUAGAUAUCUGGAGGAACACCGGUGGCGAAGGCGGCAUCCUGGACCAACACUGACACUGAGGAGCGAAAGCCAGGGGAGCAAACGGG
rnacentral:rRNA from 1 species